AAGCGUGAACACACUUGUCUAUCGUUGUAAAUCUUUUGGGCAAGUGUGGUUUUACCCAGACCUCCCAUCCCCACAAUGGCAAUGAGUUGUAACGAUCCGUUGAAAGGAAGGAUCCAGUUUUUCAGUGUGUUGGUAUCUUCAGCUAAGCCAACGGUCUGAGAUUCAUCGAUCACGUCUGAUGUCCAUCGCACCCUUCCCCAAUUACUACCACCACCGCUACUGCCAGACUCUUCACUUAUACAUAGGCUAAUCAUAGGGGUAAUGAUCUUCAAACUUUCACGAAUACUCACUAUAUCCCUGUUGAUUUCUGCCAACUUCUUUCCAACCUGGUUACGAAAUUUCAUUCCACGUGGAGAAAUAACAGACCAAAUUCUCUUUCUCAUAUUU
rnacentral:misc_RNA from 1 species